GGCGAACGGGUGAGUAACACGUGGAUAACCUGCCCUCGGCACCGGGAUAUGCCCGGGGAAACCCGGAUUAAUACCGGAUGGCCUUCCGGCUCUCGAGUCGGUCGGAAAAGGUAGCUUCGGCUCCGGCGAGGAUGGGUCCGCGGCGGAUUACUUGUUGGUGGGGUAACGGGCUACCAAGGCCCCGAUCCGUAGCUGGUCUGAGAGGACGAUCAGCACACUGGGACUGAGACACGGUCCAAACUCCAACGGGAGGCAGAGUGGGGAAUCUUGCGCAAUGGGCGAAAGCCUUGACGCAGGAGCCGGUUGAAGGAAGAAGGCCUUCGGGUUGGUAACCUUUUUCCAGGGAAGGGAACGAAAGGCUUACUUCCGGGGUGAUUAGCCCAGAGGGUGACGGUACUUCCAGAAGAAG
rnacentral:rRNA from 1 species